UUCAGCCAUAGAUUCCAUGACCAUUGUAUGUCAAUCAUGGUGUGUGUGUGUACAGCUAUAGCCCCCUCUCUUUUCCCAUCCCCUGGUGAUUAGCUGUCAGUGGUGGCCUCUUGCUGAGAGAGCGACAGAGAGAGAGAUGCAGUAAGGCCUUGGGAAGGAGGGAGACGAAGAGGGAGUGUGAAAGAAAAAGAGAGAUAUAGAGACAGAUACUGACAGAAUGAGAUGAGCCUGAAGCUGCAGAUGAUCAGGAAACAGAAGAGAACCAAACAGAGAAAGUGACGGAGUGUUAAAACCUCUUUAGAUCUCUAUAAGAGCAUGUGGUCUCCUCUCCAGCUCCCAUCAACCCCCAGGAGAAGAUGAAGGGAGCUUUGAGUCUCUCAGGCGGAAGGUUGAAGCACAUCCCCAACACUCAGACAAAUGUGAAGAAGCUGGGAACCUCCCAGCCAUCAUCUUGUUCUUGGAGUUUAUUCACAAGGUCAGAUAUAAAUAGAUCCACACAUGUU